rnacentral:rRNA from 1 species
GAUGAACGCUGGCGGCGUGCCUAAUACAUGCAAGUCGAGCGAACAGACGAGGAGCUUGCUCCUUUGACGUUAGCGGCGGACGGGUGAGUAACACGUGGGUAACCUACCUAUAAGACUGGGAUAACUUCGGGAAACCGGAGCUAAUACCGGAUAAUAUUUCGAACCGCAUGGUUCGAUAGUGAGAGAUGGCUCUGCUAUCACUUAUAGAUGGACCUGCGCCGUAUUAGCUAGUUGGUAAGGUAACGGCUUACCAAGGCAACGAUACGUAGCCGACCUGAGAGGGUGAUCGGCCACACUGGAACUGAGACACGGUCCAGACUCCUACGGGAGGCAGCAGUAGGGAAUCUUCCGCAAUGGGCGAAAGCCUGACGGAGCAACGCCGCGUGAGUGAUGAAGGUCUUCGGAUCGUAAAACUCUGUUAUUAGGGAAGAACAAACGUGUAAGUAACUGUGCACGUCUUGACGGUACCUAAUCAGAAAGCCACGGCUAACUACGUG